AUGAACGCUGGCGGCGUGCCUAAUACAUGCAAGUCGAGCGAACAGAUAAGGAGCUUGCUCCUUUGACGUUAGCGGCGGACGGGUGAGUAACACGUGGGUAACCUACCUAUAAGACUGGGAUAACUUCGGGAAACCGGAGCUAAUACCGGAUAAUAUUUCGAACCGCAUGGUUCGAUAGUGAAAGAUGGUUUUGCUAUCACUUAUAGAUGGACCCGCGCCGUAUUAGCUAGUUGGUAAGGUAACGGCUUACCAAAGCGACGAUACGUAGCCGACCUGAGAGGGUGAUCGGCCACACUGGAACUGAGACACGGUCCAGACUCCUACGGGAGGCAGCAGUAGGGAAUCUUCCGCAAUGGGCGAAAGCCUGACGGAGCAACGCCGCGUGAGUGAUGAAGGUCUUCGGAUCGUAAAACUCUGUUAUUAGGGAAGAACAUACGUGUAAGUAACUGUGCACGUCUUGACGGUACCUAAUCAGAAGGCCACGGCUAACUACGUG
rnacentral:rRNA from 1 species